rnacentral:lncRNA from 1 species
UUGAUGUCUCUUUCUCAUCAGGGAGCAGCAUAUAUGUGUUUUUUUAGCUGGGUUGGCCCAAAGCAGGGCAACCAGAUUGUAUUAAGAGCAGCAUAUAUGUAGUGUGUCUCUUAGCUGUUUGUACUAUAGUAGAUAGUUUUGUGUACAAGGCUUUUUGCUUAAGAGAGUGCUGAAUCUACAUAUAUCUGCAUUGUCCCCUGUCCCAUGCCAACAAACUAUGGUUCACUGAAUGUUUUAAUUCUGACCUAAAUAAAUAUGUUAGCACAACCAAAUAAUCCACAAUGCAGAUUGCCAGUCCCUCUUACUCCUGACCCAAUUUCAUUUAGGUGCAGAAUAACCUUAAGAUUAUCAAAACUUCCCUAAUUUUCAGAAAAGGAGAUGAAAAUUUGUUCACAUAUAAAUACUUGUACUUUACUGCAGUAAUUUGAUUUGGCUUGAAUUAAUAUUAGUUAAUAUUUCGUGGUACUGUUGUACUGGACUAUUAUGAAAUUCCCCAACAUUUGCUGGUCCAAAUGCACCAAACACGUGUAUGAUGUGUGCCAACCCUGAUGUGCAGAGCUAUCCACUGGCAUGCUAUUAAUUCCAAUUAAUUCGUACUAAUAUAAUUAUAAUCUCUAUGAUAUUGCAUUAGUGCACACACAGGUAGCUAGCUACCUCUGUCAAAUAAUUUCAUAUACCAAGAAAUGUAUUACCUCCCUCUCACAUUAUAAGAUAUUCUAAUUAUCCAUAAAUUCAUAUGUAUGCUAAUGAAUUUGAACAAAUAUACAGAACAUAUUCAUUGAUCCAUAGAGUCAAAAUAUGUUAUAAUAUGAAACAGACGAAAUAAUAAUACAUUAAUUUUCACCAAC